AUGAUACAGUGAUGAUUUCAUAGUUCAACAGAUUAAACAAUGACGAAUAAUCUUUCGCUCCUAUCUGACGUAUCUU
rnacentral:snoRNA from 1 species